rnacentral:rRNA from 1 species
GAUGAACGCUAGCGGCAGGCUUAAUACAUGCAAGUCGAGGGGCAGCACAGAUAGCAAUAUUGGGUGGCGACCGGCAAACGGGUGCGGAACACGUACACAACCUUCCUUUUGGUGGGGGAUAGCCUUUGGAAACGGAGAUUAAUACCCCAUAAGAUAUUGUGACCGCAUGGUUAUGAUAUUAAAGAUUUAUUGCCAGAAGAUGGGUGUGCGUAUGAUUAGGUAGUUGGUGAGGUAAAGGCUCACCAAGCCGACGAUCAUUAACUGGUGUGAGAGCACGACCAGUCACACGGGCACUGAGACACGGGCCCGACUCCUACGGGAGGCAGCAGUAAGGAAUAUUGGUCAAUGGACGGAAGUCUGAACCAGCCAUGCCGCGUGGAGGAUGAAGGUCCUCUGGAUUGUAAACUUCUUUUAUAUGGGGCGAAAAAGGGCCAUUCUUGGUCAACUGACGGUACCAUAUGAAUAAGCACCGGCUAACUACGUGCCAGCAGCCGCAGUAAUAC